UUGAAAUAUUUAGUUUCCCUCUUUUCAUCCUCAAACCCUUUACCUUCAAAAUUUUAGUUUCCCUCCUAUCAUUCUCAAACAUCAUACCCAAUUCAUCCUCAAACCGCACAACAAACCUAAUUUCCGGUGAUUGUUAUGUGGUUCGGUCGCCAGAAGGGUUCAAUCGGCGUGUAAGAGUGGUUCAAUCGCCCUGGUUAAUUACUGUUCUUCAAUUGAUUAAGUAGACAAACAGAUGUGGUUCUGAAAUGCUUUUUUAAACAAAUUAUCUAUGAAAGGUUGCUGAUUACCAAGUACAAUAACUACAUGAGGCAAAUGAUUUGGGAAAUCUCAAACAAGCUCAAGCCCCUUCGACAACUAAUAUACAACAUAUGGAGUUCUAAUGGCAAACAAAUGCAAGCAAAAUCAAAGUGUACAAAGAGAAGUCAAUAAUUAUGAGAAAGUAUGCUAUUUAUACUUCAAGAAUACAAAAAAGAGACCAGAAUACCUGAUCUAGGAUAAAAAGGAUUGUAAAUUCAUACUAGACAAUUUAUUUAUGACUAGUAUUUUCUUUUUAGAAUUUUCUAUUAGCUAAGUCGUUUAUAUUAAUGUGUAUCCAAAAGCGUUUUUAGCGUGUUAAGGAAAUGUGCAUGUCUCAAAAAAGUAUGCACACAACCGACCCAAAAAAUUUUGCUAGAGUUCGCGAAGAAGUGAAGAGAUGGUAAUACGCCUUUAUUUAGCUCGUGGUUUGUGUUUUUUUUUUUUACUCUUCAAGAUGCUGAUUCUUUUUGUUGAUGCACCUUCAUGUGGAUGUGGCUCGGCUCGGUUCGUCGCGGUUCAAUGGCCUUAGUUGACAUCCUCCUGUCAACUGUGUUAAUCUGUUUAGUGUAUGAAGACAACAUACAUCGAAACAGGAGUUAAUCUGGUUUGUUUGGAGAACAUCGAAACAUGGAGAAGCAAAGGGAAUCGAAACAGAAGUAUUAAUGGACAUCGAAAUAGGCUAUUUCGAUGUGGAGAUAUCCCAAGUUGUUUCGAUAAUGUGAACAUAAAUGUAUUUCGAUAGAAAGUUCCUUUGUUUCAAUGUAUUUCAUUCUUUAUGUUAUGUUUUGUUGUAAGUGUGAUGCUUUGGUAGUAUAAAGAGCAUCACACACACCCUGUUUCAAAGAGGGAGAACACCAUUUUCAGUGAGAGUGCAUUUUGUGCAAAACCUUUUGUAUUCAUACUCUGCUGAAAUCAAAUACUGAGCUUUAAAGUGA